rnacentral:rRNA from 1 species
CCUACGGGCGGCUGCAGUGGGGAAUAUUGCACAGUGGGCGCAAGCCUGAUGCAGCCAUGCCGCGUGUGUGAAGAAGGCCUUCGGGUUGUAAAGCACUUUCAGCGGGGAGGAAGGCGGUGAGGUUAAUAACCUCAUCGAUUGACGUUACCCGCAGAAGAAGCACCGGCUAACUCCGUGCCAGCAGCCGCGGUAAUACGGAGGGUGCAAGCGUUAAUCGGAAUUACUGGGCGUAAAGCGCACGCAGGCGGUCUGUCAAGUCGGAUGUGAAAUCCCCGGGCUCAACCUGGGAACUGCAUUCGAAACUGGCAGGCUAGAGUCUUGUAGAGGGGGGUAGAAUUCCAGGUGUAGCGGUGAAAUGCGUAGAGAUCUGGAGGAAUACCGGUGGCGAAGGCGGCCCCCUGGACAAAGACUGACGCUCAGGUGCGAAAGCGUGGGGAGCAAACAGGAUUAGAUACCCGGGUAGUC